rnacentral:rRNA from 1 species
AUUGGACGCUGGCGGCAGGCCUAACACAUGCAAGUCGAGCGGAUGAAGGGAGCUUGCUCCUGGAUUCAGCGGCGGACGGGUGAGUAAUGCCUAGGAAUCUGCCUGGUAGUGGGGGAUAACGUCCGGAAACGGGCGCUAAUACCGCAUACGUCCUGAGGGAGAAAGUGUGGGAUCUUCGGACCUCACGCUAUCAGAUGAGCCUAGGUCGGAUUAGCUAGUUGGUGGGGUAAAGGCCUACCAAGGCGACGAUCCGUAACUGGUCUGAGAGGAUGAUCAGUCACACUGGAACUGAGACACGGUCCAGACUCCUACGGGAGGCAGCAGUGGGGAAUAUUGGACAGUGGGCGAAAGCCUGAUCCAGCCAUGCCGCGUGUGUGAAGACGGUCUUCGGAUUGUAAAGCACUUUACGUUGGGAGGAAGGGCAGUAUGUUAAUACCUUGCUGUUUUGACGUUACCAACAGAAUAAGCACCGGCUAACUUCGUG